GAAACCCUGACGCAGCGACGCCGCGUGAGUGAAGAAGGCCUUCGGGUUGUAAAGCUCUGUCAGGCGGAAAGAAGUGCAUCGUGGUUAAUACCCGCUAUGUUUGACGGUACCUCCAAAGGAAGCACCGGCUAACUCCGUGCCAGCAGCCGCGGUAAUA
rnacentral:rRNA from 1 species